rnacentral:rRNA from 1 species
CCUACGGGAGGCAGCAGUGGGGAAUUUUGGACAAUGGGCGCAAGCCUGAUCCAGCCAUGCCGCGUGCGGGAAGAAGGCCUUCGGGUUGUAAACCGCUUUUGUCAGGGAAGAAAAGGUUCUGGCUAAUACCUGGGACUCAUGACGGUACCUGAAGAAUAAGCACCGGCUAACUACGUGCCAGCAGCCGCGGUAAUACGUAGGGUGCAAGCGUUAAUCGGAAUUACUGGGCGUAAAGCGUGCGCAGGCGGUUAUGCAAGACAGAGGUGAAAUCCCGGGGCUCAACCUGGGAACUGCCUUUGUGACUGCAUGGCUAGAGUACGGUAGAGGGGGAUGGAAUUCCGCGUGUAGCAGUGAAAUGCGUAGAUAUGCGGAGGAACACCGAUGGCGAAGGCAAUCCCC